CAGCAGCCGCGGUAAUACGAAGGGGGCUAGCGUUGUUCGGAUUUACUGGGCGUAAAGGGUGCGUAGGCGGAUUGUUAAGUCAGGGGUGAAAUCCCGAGGCUCAACCUCGGAACUGCCUUUGAUACUGGCGAUCUUGAGUCCGGGAGAGGUGAGUGGAACUGCGAGUGUAGAGGUGAAAUUCGUAGAUAUUCGCAAGAACACCGGUGGCGAAGGCGGCUCACUGGCCCGGAACUGACGCUGAGGCACGAAAGCGUGGGGAGCAAACAGGAUUAGAUACCCCAGUAGUCCCUGUCUCUUAUAC
rnacentral:rRNA from 1 species